rnacentral:tRNA from 1 species
GGCGGCGUAGCCAAGUGGCAAGGCGAAGGUCUGCAAAACCUUUAUUCACGGGUUCGAUUCCCGUCGCCGCCU